rnacentral:rRNA from 1 species
GGUCAAGCUCUAAGGGCGUACGGUGAAUGCCUUGGCGCUAGAAGUCGAUGAAGGACGUGGUAAGCUGCGAUAAGCUUCGGGGAGCCGCAAACAGGCUUUGAUCCGGAGAUUUCCGAAUGGGGCAACCCACCUUGGGUCAUACCGAGGUAUCCCGGACUGAAUUCAUAGGUCCGUGGAAGGCAACGUGGGGAAGUGAACCAUCUCAGUACCCACAGGAAGAGAAAACAACAGUGAUUCCGCUAGUAGCGGCGAGCGAACGCGGAUUAGCCCAAACCUUCGUGCUUGCACGGGGGGGUUGGAGGGUCUGUUAGGCCGCAAGGCCGACGAGUUACAAACCGGCAAGAUAGUCGAACAGCUUGGAAAAGCUGGCCACAGAGGGUGAUAGCCCCGUAGGCGAAAUCUUACUGGCUCGUUGGACAGAUACCUGAGUAGCGCGGGACACGAGAAAUCCCGUGUGAAUCUGCGAGGACCAUCUCGCAAGGCUAAAUACUCUCUAGCGACCGAUAGUGAACCAGUACCGUGAGGGAAAGGUGAAAAGAACCCCUGCGAGGGGAGUGAAAUAGUACCUGAAACCGUAUGCCUACAAGCAGUGGGAGGGCUAUGCCAUCUUCGGAUGGAAUGCCUGACCGCGUGCCUUUUGCAUAAUGAGCCGGCUAGUUAUUCUCAGUGGCGAGGUUAAGCGACAGCGAGCCGAAGCGAAAGCGAGUCCGAAUGGGGCGUAUAGUCGCUGGGAAUAGACGCGAAGCGAGGUGAUCUACCCUUGGCCAGGGUGAAGUACGGGUAACACCGUAUGGAGGCCCGAACCAGUGUUGGUUGAAAACAACUUGGAUGAGCUGAGGGUAGGGGUGAAAGGCUAAUCAAACCUCGUGAUUGCCCGUUCUCCUCGAAAUGUCUUUAGGGACAGCCUCGGGAAGUCGGCGUUGGUGGUAGAGCACUGGAUGGACUAGGGGGCUUACCAGCUUACUGAAUCCAACCAAACUUCGAAUGCCAACGACACGUAUCCCGGGAGUGAGACGGUGGGGGCUAAGCUUCAUCGUCGAGAGGGAAACAGCCCAGACUACCGGCUAAGGUCCCUAACUUCAUGCUAAGUGGUAAAGGAUCUGGAGACGCUCGGACAACCAGGAGGUUGGCUUAGAAGCAGCCAUCCUUUAAAGAAAGCGUAAUAGCUCACUGGUCAAGCGGCUCUGGGCCGACAAUACAACGGGGCUUAAGCAUGAGACCGAAGCCGUAGAAUAGAGGACCUGCGGGUCUGUCAAUUGGUAGAGGAGCGUUCUCUGCGCAUCGAAGCCAGACCGGAAGGACUGGUGGAGUGCAGAGAAGUGACCCUGCCGGCAUAAGUAGCGAGAAGGGAAGUGAGGAUCUUCCCCGCCGUAAGCCUAAGGUUUCCUGAGGAAGGUUCGUCCGCUCAGGGUUAGUCGGUCCUAACGCGAGGCCGAAAGGCGUAGCGGAUGGAUAUCUGGUUAAUAUUCCAGAACUACCUAUUUCACGUUAUCACGAUGGGGGGACGCAGGAGGCUACGCGAGCCUGGAGAGGGCGCCCGUAAGGGUGGCACAGGUUGAGGCAUGUAGGGAGAUCCGCUUGGAAAAUCCGGUGGGUCGUUAAUCCUGAGGUGCCGAAGCGAGACCGCAAGGUCACAAAGUCGCCGACGCCACGCUGCCGAGAAAAGCCUCUAAGGAGUGAAGUAGGUACCCGUACCGCAAACCGACACAGGUAGGCGAGGAGAAAAUCCUCAGGCGCAAGUGAGAACCCUCGUUAAGGAACUCGGCAAAUUGGCCCCGUAACUUCGGAAGAAGGGGUGCCCCACAUCCGUCAUUGGCCUCGCGCCAUGAAGCGGACAGGGGUUGCAAUAAAGAGGCCCAGGCGACUGUUUACUAAAAACACAGGACUCUGCGAAGUCGAACACGACGUAUAGGGUCUGACGCCUGCCCGGUGCCGGAAGGUUAAAAGCAGAUGUCAGCCGCAAGGUGAAGCAUUGAAUUGAAGCCCCGGUAAACGGCGGCCGUAACUAUAACGGUCCUAAGGUAGCGAAAUUCCUUGUC